UAUCGAUGAUGAAAGAUGAAAGGCUUGUUUCUCAUGAACAUUCGCAGUGGCCGCCUGAUUGAACUUUCGCCUUCGCCAGGCUUGAGAGUUCAUGUUGCUCUUUCCUUCCUUCCUUGGAUGUCUGAGAUCCUCCUCUUUUUUUCUUUUCUUUUUUUUAUUUUUAUUUGUUUUGAUGUCUAUAAGAAACUGGUGAUGAUAAUGUUAAGGCUUGUUUCUCAGAAACAUUCGCAGUGGCCGACUAAGAGCUUUCGCCUUCGCCAGGCUCGAGAGCUUGUGCUGUCUUGCUCCUUCCUUCCUUGGAUGUCUGAAGUUUCAAUAUUAUACAUAAAUUAUUUAUUUAUUUAUUUAUUUAUGGAGAUUUAGUGUGGGUUUCUCAAUGAUGAUUUCAAUAGAUGACGAGUCUGAUGUAAUAUCCAUUCCAUUCAAUUAUGAAGACGAAUCGAGGCAUUUGUCUGAGAGCCAACCCAUCUAUACUGAGUCCUUUGUUUUUAAAAAAAAAAUGGCCGAUGAUAAAAUUCAAAUUAAUGACAAGCAUAUGUCUGAAUAAAUAAAUAAAUGUUGUUAAUCUUCUCCAUGAGGCCACAUUCAUUUUGAAACCGAUGAGGAUUAGAUUUGUGUUACAACAAUUUUACUGCCUUCCUUCCUUCUAAGGUUUGUUUUUAUUUUAAAAUAUAUUUAUGGUUUUUGAUUGAAUAUUUGAUGAUUUUGAGGAGUUCAGAUGAUGAUCAAUUGCAUAGUUCAAAUGAAUGUUUGUGAUUAGAAAAGUUUUAGUCUUUCCGAUGAACUCACAUUUUUUUAUAUUUUUUAAUUUAAUAAUGAUUGUAUUUAAAUUAGUGGGAUAAUGACGACUCCAUGUGAUAAGGUCUCGUUCGUCGUAAUGGUGUGAUGAAUUCACACCUUGCCCCAUGUGAUAAGGUCUCGUUCGUCGUAAUGGUGUGAUGAAUUCACACCUUGCCGACCAUCCUGUUAUACCACCACCCAUAAACUGA
rnacentral:lncRNA from 1 species